GCCGAAAUAGCUCAGUUAGGAGAGCGUUAGACUGAAUAUCUAGAGGUCCCUGGUUCGAUCCCGGGUUUCGGCA
rnacentral:tRNA from 1 species